rnacentral:rRNA from 1 species
GACGAACGCUGGCGGCGUGCUUAACACAUGCAAGUCGAACGGAAGGGCCCUACUUUUGUGGGGUGCUCGAGUGGCGAACGGGUGAGUAACACGUGAGUAACCUGCCCUUGACUUUGGGAUAACUUCAGGAAACUGCGGCUCAUACCGGAUAGGAGCUCCUGCUGCAUGGUGGGGGUUGGAAAGUUUCGGCGGUUGGGGAUGGACUGGCGGCUUCUCCGCUUGUUGGUGGGGUAGUGGCUUACCAAGGCUUUGACGGGUAGCCGGCCUGAGAGGGUGACCGGCGACAUGGGGACUGAGAUACGGACCAGAAGCCUACGGGAGGCAGCAGGGGGGAAUAUUGCGCAGUGGGCGGAAGCCUGAUGCAGCAACGCCGCGUGCGGGAUGACGGCCUUCGGGUUGUAAACCGCUUUCGCCUGUGACGAAGCGUGAGUGACGGUAAUGGGUAAAGAAGCACCGGCUAACUACGUG